GGGGAUUUAGCUCAGUGGUAGAGCGUUUGCCUAGCAAGCGCAAGGCCCUGGGUUCGGUCCCCAGUUCCG
rnacentral:tRNA from 1 species